rnacentral:rRNA from 1 species
GACGAACGCUGGCGGCGUGCUUAACACAUGCAAGUCGAACGGAAAGGCCCCAGCUUGCUGGGGUACUCGAGUGGCGAACGGGUGAGUAACACGUGGGUGAUCUGCCCUGCACUCUGGGAUAAGCCUGGGAAACUGGGUCUAAUACCGGAUAGGACCGUGCUUUAGUGUGUGCGGUGGAAAGUUUUUCGGUGCAGGAUGAGCCCGCGGCCUAUCAGCUUGUUGGUGGGGUAAUGGCCUACCAAGGCGGCGACGGGUAGCCGGCCUGAGAGGGUGUACGGCCACAUUGGGACUGAGACACGGACCAGACGCCUACGGGAGGCAGCAGUGGGGAAUAUUGCACAAUGGGCGCAAGCCUGAUGCAGCGACGCCGCGUGGGGGAUGACGGCCUUCGGGUUGUAAACCCCUUUCGGCAGGGACGAAGCGUUUGUGACGGUACCUGCAUAAGAAGCACCGGCUAACUACGUG